CCUACGGGAGGCAGCAGUGGGGAAUAUUGGACAAUGGGGGGAACCCUGAUCCAGCCAUGCCGCGUGUGUGAAGAAGGCCCUCGGGUUGUAAAGCACUUUCAGUGAGGAAGAACGCCUGGUGGUUAAUACCCAUCAGGAAAGACAUCACUCACAGAAGAAGCACCGGCUAACUCCGUGCCAGCAGCCACGGUAAUACGGAGGGUGCGAGCGUUAAUCGGAAUUACUGGGCGUAAAGCGCGCGUAGGUGGCUUGAUAAGCCGGUUGUGAAAGCCCCGGGCUCAACCUGGGAACGGCAUCCGGAACUGUCAAGCUAGAGUGCAGGAGAGGAAGGUAGAAUUCCCGGUGUAGCGGUGAAAUGCGUAGAGAUCGGGAGGAAUACCAGUGGCGAAGGCGGCCUUCUGGACUGACACUGACACUGAGGUGCGAAAGCGUGGGUAGCAAACAGGAUUAGAUACCCCGGUAGUC
rnacentral:rRNA from 1 species